UGCCACUGUGUGUCGAUAUCUGUAAACGUUGUCGCAAGUGGAAAUGGCCAGCAGUGGUUCGACGUAUCCGUUGCGGUCCACACGUGUUUAAUAGGCUUUCCGAAUCGAUCUUCUUGAAAACGAAAGUUCUCUUCGAAAAAAUUCCACGUAUUUCGUUUCAGGUUUCCUAAAAGAACACAAGUGCUCGAGCGAAUUUUACCAACCUCGUUUUCUCCUGUAAUCAUUGUUAAUUAGUAACGAUUUCCUUAUACUUUGCUGUAAUGUGAAAUUCGCACUGUAGAAUUAAAUAUAUGUAUUUGUAACGUAAUGGAAACGUGAAAUCGUAGAAACAUGACGACGAACGCAUGCAAUAUUGAUAACGAAGACGACGUAUAGAUAACAAUUUACUUCAUCGGUUAUACAAUAAUUAUAACGCAUUCCAGCUAAUUUCUUCUAUCGGUGAUUUCUAAAAUCUUUGAUCGUCUUCGUUAUUUAGUAUUCCAUGCGGUAAAAUAAAUUGAGAAAAGUUGCAAAGAA